GAGUUUGAUCCUGGCUCAGGACGAACGCUGGCGGCGCGCCUAACACAUGCAAGUCGAACGGGAAAUAUUUCAUUGAGACUUCGGUGGAUUUGAUCUAUUUCUAGUGGCGGACGGGUGAGUAACGCGUGGGUAACCUGCCUUAUACAGGGGGAUAACAGUCAGAAAUGGCUGCUAAUACCGCAUAAGCGCACAGAGCUGCAUGGCUCAGUGUGAAAAACUCCGGUGGUAUAAGAUGGACCCGCGUUGGAUUGGCUUGUUGGUGAGGUAACGGCCCACCAAGGCGACGAUCAGUAGCCGACUUGAGAGAGUGAUCGGCCACAUUGGGACUGAGACACGGCCCAGACUCCUACGGGAGGCAGCAGUGGGGAAUAUUGCACAAUGGGGGAAACCCUGAUGCAGCGACGCCGCGUGAGUGAGGAAGUAUUUCGGUAUGUAAAGCUCUAUCAGCAGGGAAGAAGAAAUGACGGUACCUGACUAAGAAGCCCCGGCUAACUACGUGCCAGCCGCCGCGGUAAUUC
rnacentral:rRNA from 1 species